UUGUGACUCACCACAAGACUGACAAGAGCGUGAGGAGGCAGAUGACUGGUGUGCCAGGCGGGAAAUGCAGGGAAAAUUACUUCCAUUGGAAACUCAUGAGUGGCUAUAAUAUCUGCACUCCAACAGAGAAGUCGCUCUUUGGCAGGGGAGAUCCACAACCCAAGUGUGGUGUGAAGAAGAUUUCCAGAUCUGUGCAACUGGAAUAAAAGGAGGGGUCGAGGGGGACCACCCGUAAGGAUCAGAUAAGAGCAUGAUAUUUUCACUCUGGGACAUGAUGACAUGUAAAAAAAAAAAAAAAACGAAAUGGAGAAUUGUGCUUGAGGCGAUCUGGAGGUUCUGACAGCCUGUCUCACUCUGAGAUGCCCGUGUGCGGACCCUCUAUUGAAGAAGCCUGUCUAGGCCUGUCUACAGAGCCACCAUUUACUCCCUGUG